rnacentral:rRNA from 1 species
AAACUUUCAACAAUGGAUCUCUUGGUUCCGGCAUCGAUGAAGAACGCAGCGAAAUGCGAUAACUAAUGUGAAUUGCAGAAUUCAGUGAAUCAUCGAGUCUUUGAACGCACAUUGCGCCCCCUGGUAUUCCGGGGGGCAUGCCUGUCCGAGCGUCGUU